GAUGAACGCUGGCGGCGUGCCUAAUACAUGCAAGUCGAGCGAACAGACGAGGAGCUUGCUCCUCUGACGUUAGCGGCGGACGGGUGAGUAACACGUGGAUAACCUACCUAUAAGACUGGGAUAACUUCGGGAAACCGGAGCUAAUACCGGAUAAUAUAUUGAACCGCAUGGUUCAAUAGUGAAAGACGGUUUUGCUGUCACUUAUAGAUGGAUCCGCGCCGCAUUAGCUAGUUGGUAAGGUAACGGCUUACCAAGGCGACGAUGCGUAGCCGACCUGAGAGGGUGAUCGGCCACACUGGAACUGAGACACGGUCCAGACUCCUACGGGAGGCAGCAGGAGGGAAUCUGCCGCAAUGGGCGAAAGCCUGACGGAGCAACGCCGCGUGAGUGAUGAAGGUCUUCGGAUCGUAAAACUCUGUUAUUAGGGAAGAACAAAUGUGUAAGUAACGAUGCACGUCUUGACGGUACCGAAGCAGAAAGCCACGGCUAACUACGU
rnacentral:rRNA from 1 species